GUGAGGAACACGUGAGGAACCUGCCCCGAACUUUGGGAUAACAGAUUGGAAACGACUGCUAAUACCGAAUGCCGUUACGAAGUGGCAUCACUUUGUAACGAAAGAAUUUCGGUUCGGGAGGGCCUCGCGGCCUAUCAGCUAGUUGGUGGGGUAAUGGCCUACCAAGGCAUCGACGGGUAGCUGGUCUGAGAGGAUGAUCAGCCACACUGGGACUGAGACACGGCCCAGACUCCUACGGGAGGCAGCAGUGGGGAAUCUUGUGCAAUGGGCGAAAGCCUGACACAGCCACGCCGCGUGCGGGAAGAAGGCCUUCGGGUUGUAAACCGCUUUCAGCAGGAACGAAAAUGACGGUACCUGCAGAAGAAGAUGCGGCCAACUACGUGCCAGCAGCCGCGGUGAUACGUAGGCAUCAAGCGUUGUCCGGAUUUAUUGGGCGUAAAGAGCUCGUAGGCGGUUCAGCAAGUCGGGUGUGAAAACUCUGGGCUUAACCCAGAGCCUGCACUCGAAACUGCUGUGACUAGAGUUCGGUAGGGGAGCAGGGAAUUCCUAGUGUAGCGGUGAAAUGCGCAGAUAUUAGGAGGAACACCAAUGGCGAAGGCACUGCUCUGGGCCGAUACUGACGCUGAGGAGCGAGAGCGUGGGUAGCAAACAGGAUUAGAUACCCUGGUAGUCCACGCCGUAAACGAUGGGCACUAGGUGUGGGUCUCUAACCAACGAGAUCUGCGCCGUCGCUAACGCAUUAAGUGCCCCGCCUGGGGAGUACGGUCGCAAGACUAAAACUCAAAGGAAUUGA
rnacentral:rRNA from 1 species